AAGCAACUAAUCGCACAAAAUCAAGAGUAUUUCAGUAUUAUAAUUUUGAUAAAAAUGUUCAAUCUGGUUAACUGACGGUCGUACCCUAGCCGACUACAACAUCGUUGGACCAUAUAAUAGAGAUCACACUAUUCGGGGUGGCUGACAAAGAAAAAAACAUGGAGAUUGUAUUGAAAUUUGAAACUGGCCCAACUAACGUUUUUAAAAAUCGCCGGGUCAUAAAACUAAUAAAUAAAUAGUAAUAGGG
rnacentral:lncRNA from 1 species